rnacentral:rRNA from 1 species
CAAUGGCGUAUAUUAAAGUUGUUGCAGUUAAAAAGCUCGUAGUUGGAUUUCUGGCAGGAGCGACCGGUCGGCCCAUUGUGGUGUGUACUAGUGUUGCAUCUGGCCAUAUUUGUGGAGAGCGUGUGUGGCAUUAAUUUGUCGUGCUCGGGACCCGCAUCGUUUACUGUGAGAAAAUUAGAGUGUUCAAAGCAGGCUUAUGCCUUGGAUAUGUUAGCAUGGAAUAAUAAGAUAAGACUUUGGCGGUCUAUUUUGUUGGUUUGCACGCCAUUGUAAUGAUUGAUAGGGACAGUUGGGGGUAUUCAUAUUUAAUUGUCAGAGGUGAAAUUCUUGGAUUCGGUCAAGACUAACUUAUGCGAAAGCAUUCACCAAGGAUGUCUUCUUUAAUCAAGAACGAAAGUUGGGGGAUCGAAGACGAUUAGAUACCAU